GACAUGAACAUCUUGGAUGACAUGGGGGUGAGUAAAUUAUCAGGAAAUUUUAAUUUGAAAGUGAUCCUUUAAUCCUUUAAAUAAAUUUUGUGAACAAGUGGUUUAAUACAAACAAAACGUCUAGAAAGAAAACAGGGGCCUGUUUCAUAAAACAAGUUUACCAAAUAUGCUAUGCUUUCAGUUAGUCUGAUUGUUUUGAACCAAAUCAACUGACAAUAAAUCAGACUUACUGAAAUAAACCUGGAUUAUUUGGUAAACUUUUAUGUAUUGUGAAACAGGUCCCAGAUCACUUUUAAAAUGCAUGUUUAUAAACUUAAACAAGAGUCUUUUUGGAAAGGCGAUAUUAACGGACGCCUAAAGGUCCUACUCGGGAUAUAUAAACCGCCACGCUGCCAGCUGUAGAGUCCUCAGUCGGCUUUGCUUUGGAAGGAGUUAGUGCGGUAUGUACUGAGACUGAAUAAAUCAGGACUUCUCUCUGCUGUGUUCAGCGUGGAACCUGGUGAGACUUAACAUCGUGGCCUGUGGACGAGCUUACGCCUUUUUCCAAAUGCUGUUUAAUUAAGCUUUUUUUUUUUUUUUUUUUUUUUUUUUUUUUUUUUUUUUUUUUCUCGGAAGUGCAAAUGCAUAAUGUUUGUAUAAAUGUUUAUAGCUGACCCUUUUUCUUCAAAUGUACUGUUUCACGUAUUUGACAACCAUUAAAUGAGACUAAGCCCCAUCAAGCUUGUGCUUUUUUUUUUUUUUUUUUUUUUUUUUCUCCAUUUUGCAUAUGUAUGCAGUUUGCUUUUGACGUGCUCAAAGUGGAUAGUUCACCCAAAAAUGUUUUACUCGAGUUGUUUCAAGCCUCCACCCAAUGCUAUAGAAGUCAAUGGGGCCCAUCCACUGUUUGGUUACUGGCAUUCUACAAAAAUAACAUCUGCUUUCAGCAGAAGUAGUACAGUACAGGUUCGAAACGGUUUGAGGUUGAGUAAGUGAGGAGCAUUUUCAUUUUGGGGUCUAUCCCUAUACCAUGGUUCCCAUAGUCCUAAAUAAAAUCACUUAAAAUGGUUUCUUGGUCUGGGGAAAGUUAAGGUAAUUAAGGGAACUGACAAGCAAUUAGGUAUUCUGGUCUUUAAUUGUUCUAAAUCUUAGAUUCUCUAGCCAAAGUCUCUAAUGGGGUGGUAAAAGUGUGAGAACUGGAAGACCUGGCUGCAAUUCAAACAGCCUAUUUCAAACAAGUAUUUGUAUAGCACUUGUCGCAAUGCAAUAUUGAAUAUCUUCAAUAAAAAAAAAGAGCAGGAAGACCACCAGUGAGCAUGUAAUUGGGGUGAUUAGCAAGGGAAAAGUAUCAAUGUUUAGGUGAGGAAAUGAGGAACCCAUCUUUCUGGCAGUCACAGACUCUAAAGAUUGUAAUGGGAAUAUGUGAAAAUCUUGCUGCCAUUCAGAAGAUGCAUAAAAUAUGUACAUAUUUCUGAGAAAAAAUAAUUUAGGCCGAUAAUUCUGUUUAAAUGUUUACAACCCAUUUAAUUUAGUGUUGCUGCCUUGAACAUUUGUGUCUUUUUGUAAUCAUGGUGUACGAGUCUCGCGAGUACGAGUUGUUAGUCCUCCAAAUCAUAUUCCUUUUGAGAAAAUGUGCAGGAGAUGCUGGAAGGCCAAAGAAUGUGAUUUUUUUUUUUUAAUUUUUUUUUUUAGCUUCACUACUCAGGACAAAGCAAGCACAACUAUCACAAAACUUAGUCAUUGAUCAGAGAAAGCCAUAUACUGCAAUAAGAACUGGCUAGUUUGUGUUCAUUCUGCUGUUAUUUUGGCUUGUGGACCAACUGUAAACCUCUAUGUUAAAGUUUAUUCAGGGCAGUACUAAAUGUAUUUAUGAUCCCUUUUAUUUUUUUCCAAUAUUACACAUCUUGCAGACUCUGCAAGGGAUGUAAAUUUAUAAGAACUAGGCUAUAUAAUGGUUAAAAUAUCUAAAUUAAACAAUAUAGUAAAAAACAAAGACACUCAAAAGUAAUUCCUGCAUCAUUUAUUAUAAUUCUAAUAGCCUUUAUUCAUUUCUUAAACAUUUGUAUUUCAUAUGUGUAUAUAUGUAUAAUCGCAUACACAUAUAUAUUUGUAAAUAACCUCUUAUCUGUUCAUAGUUAAUUUUCUUCAAUUUAAAAGAAAAAAAGAUGCUUUCUGCACACCCUGGACAGCUACUGCAUCAAUUGUUCCUGUGUGUGAUCUUUGACCUCUUCAUGGGUCACAUUGUCCAGACCCUUUAAUGGCUAUGUGAUCUUCAAUGUGCAUGGAUCCUCAGCAUGAUCAUGGAUAAUUCUGCAGUGUGAAAAGCUGUCUGCAUACUGUUCUGUUGUUGUUAGAAGUUGUAAUAUUUAAACUGUCCGGGAAGAGAGAACCGUAUGACUUUUACUCCACCUAGUGGACAAUACAGGAAAGUGAGAAUUACCAGUCAUCGGGGUACAACACCAGCUGUUAUUGAAGCAAAUCAGUUUGAUGAAUUUGAUUGUGAGAUGAGACAACAGAGAACACAGGAUGUGUAGAAAGCAUGAUUCGAUUACACAUUAAACUCAUGUUAAACAUUUGGAAGACAGAGAUUCUUUAAAACUUGGAAUCCUUUUUUUCCAUAUCAGAAUAAUUUCUUUCAUUGUCCUUACUGUUAUCAACAUCACUAUACUUACCAGUCUUAAACAUCAAAAAUACACUAAGUUCUUCAAUCUUUUUAUCCAGUGUUGGUGAUUAUGGUAAACCGAGAGCUGUGAUGAAUGAUGCAUGAAUCCACACUCGUUCUGAGAAGACGAACAGAUGCAAGAUGGGCAGAGGGAGAUGGAGGGGUUGAAAUCUUUACUGAUGGUCCUGAAAGAGACACAGACAGGAAGGUAACAUAAAGGUGACAUAUGGUUUGGACUCAAGGUGACAGCAGAUGAAAAGAAGAGAAAACUCAUGAAAGGAAAUGUAAUGCGAGGAUGAGGAGCCCUUUUAAUUGAUUGAGCAACUAUUUGUGAUGUGGGAGAUGAAGGCUGGAGGUCACUAGAUUUACUUAUUAGUUUGUGUGAGGGAAUAUGAAUGUAAAGGGUAUAUAUACUGCCGCAGACAAUAAACUCCUUGAUAGUCCUUGCAUACAAAGUGAUGUCACAUUAAUUUUUUUAAUGGAAAGGAAAAGCAGGAGGGUGAGGGACAUUGUAAGAUGUGAAAGUCUCGUCUCUAAUUUAAGUCCUAGAGGUACCAAAGAUCUGAACACAUUCCAUGUGGUCACAAACUAAAAAAAAAAAAAGAUG